rnacentral:rRNA from 1 species
UACGUAGGGUGCGAGCGUUAAUCGGAAUUACUGGGCGUAAAGCGUGCGCAGGCGGCGCGUUAAGACAGGUGUGAAAGCCCCGAGCUUAACUUGGGAAUUGCGCUUGUGACUGGCGUGCUGGAGUGUGGCAGAGGGAGGUGGAAUUCCACGUGUAGCAGUGAAAUGCGUAGAGAUGUGGAGGAACACCGAUGGCGAAGGCAGCCCCCUGGGCUAACACUGACGCUCAUGCACGAAAGCGUGGGGAGCAAACAGG